rnacentral:pre_miRNA from 1 species
AGAAAAAGAGCCUGUCAAGUUAGCCAAGGAGUGACUGCCUAAUAAGCCAAACAAGGUGUUAUAACUUACUAUCACCUUGUCUUGAUUUAAGGCAAGUCAUCCUUGGCUACCAAACAAGACACUCCUCUUC